GGCGGGAUGACGUACAAAUCAUCAUGCCCUUUAUGUCCUGGGCUACACACGUGCUACAAUGGCCUUGUAACGAAAGGGCAGACGAAAGGGGCCGACCCGGAGCAAAUCCCAAAAAACAGGUCUCAGUUCGGAUUGCAGGCUGCAACUCGCCUGCAUGAAGGCGGAAUCGCUAGUAAUCGCAGGUCAGCAUACUGCGGUGAAUACGUUCCCGGGCCUU
rnacentral:rRNA from 1 species